rnacentral:rRNA from 1 species
GAGUUUGAUCAUGGCUCAGGAUGAACGCUGGCGGCGUGCUUAACACAUGCAAGUCGAACGAACCUUCGGGUUAGUGGCGGACGGGUGAGUAACGCGUGGGAAUCUGCCCUCAGGAGGGGGAUAACGGUUGGAAACGACCGCUAAUACCCCAUAUGCCGAGAGGUGAAAUGAAUUUCGCCUGAGGAUGAGCCCGCGUCUGAUUAGCUUGUUGGUGAGGUAAUGGCUCACCAAGGCAUCGAUCAGUAGCUGGUCUGAGAGGAUGAUCAGCCACACUGGGACUGAGACACGGCCCAGACUCCUACGGGAGGCAGCAGUGGGGAAUUUUCCGCAAUGGGCGAAAGCCUGACGGAGCAACGCCGCGUGAGGGACGAAGGCCUCUGGGCUGUAAACCUCUUUUCUCAAGGAAGAAGAUAUGACGGUACUUGAGGAAUAAGCCACGGCUAAUUCCGUGCCAGCAGCCGCGGUAAUACGGGAGUGGCAAGCGUUAUCCGGAAUUAUUGGGCGUAAAGCGUCCGCAGGCGGCUUUUCAAGUCUGCUGUUAAAACGUGGAGCUUAACUCCAUCAUGGCAGUGGAAACUGAUUGGCUUGAGUAUGGUAGGGGCAGAGGGAAUUCCCGGUGUAGCGGUGAAAUGCGUAGAUAUCGGGAAGAACACCAGUGGCGAUGGCGCUCUGCUGGGUCAUUACUGACGCUCAUGGACGAAAGCCAGGGGAGCGAAAGGGAUUAGAUACCCCUGUAGUCCUGGCCGUAAACGAUGAACACUAGGUGUCGGGGGAAUCGACCCCUUCGGUGUCGUAGCUAACGCGUUAAGUGUUCCGCCUGGGGAGUGCGCACGCAAGUGUGAAACUCAAAGGAAUUGACGGGGGCCCGCACAAGCGGUGGAGUAUGUGGUUUAAUUCGAUGCAACGCGAAGAACCUUACCAGGGCUUGACAUCCUGCGAACCUUUAAGAAAUUAGAGGGUGCCUUCGGGAACGCAGUGGCAGGUGGUGCAUGGCUGUCGUCAGCUCGUGUCGUGAGAUGUUGGGUUAAGUCCCUCAACGAGCGCAACCCACGUUUUUAGUUGCCAGCAUUUAGUUGGGCACUCUAGAAAGACCGCCGGUGAUAAACCGGAGGAAGGUGUGGAUGACGUCAAGUCAUCAUGCCCCUUACGUCCUGGGCUACACACGUACUACAAUGCUACGGACAAAGGGCAGCAAACUCGCGAGAGCUAGCAAAUCCCAUAAACCGUGGCUCAGUUCAGAUCGUAGGCUGCAACUCGCCUACGUGAAGUAGGAAUCGCUAGUAAUCGCAGGUCAGCAUACUGCGGUGAAUACGUUCCCGGGCCUUGUACACACCGCCCGUCACACCAUGGAAGUUGGCCAUGCCCGAAGUCGUUACUUUAACCCUCGUGGAGAAGGACGCCGAAGGUGGGGCUGAUGACUGGGGUGAAGUCGUAACAAGGUAACC